UGUCAAACUCAUUUCACAGUGUGGGCCACAUACGCACUCUGUAGAUGUCAAGUGGGCCGAACCAUUAACAUUAUACCAUACUGUGCUAUGAAUCACCAACAUAUCAUCAUUUUGGUCUCAAGAAGCAUUGAUUGGCGCUUUCAUCUCAUUUGCUACGUUGGGUCGAUCGCAGUAACAGACGGGGACUGCUAUUUUCUUCCCCUAUCAAAACAAUGUUGUCUUCUGCUGUGAUCAAAACAGUAUGCCUAUGCCCCCUAGCGGAUAAUCCACGAAUUGCAUUUUAUUUAAAAUAUUCAUUCUGUGUCUUUAAUGCAUUUUCUUCACUUUUAAAUGAUCCCGCGGGCUGGACCAAACCUCCUUGGGGGCCGAUUCCGGCCCGCGGGCCGUCUGUUUGACACCUCUGAUUUAUAUAUACAUUAGGGUCAUGUUUUGUCAUUUUUCAUCCGUUCAUCAAUUUUUAUUUCACUUCCCCCGAUUGCAAUCCAAGACACAAGGCCACAUUCUUUUUUAAUUUAAAAAAAAGAGGGCAAGAAUAGAACUUACUUUCAAAGGUCAUACAAUAGACAUUCAUUGGAUCCUAAAACGUAACGUUCCACCUGAUAUGGACUCCAACUGCGCACCCCAAACGCAUCACCAGACUGGCAUGUUGUGACAGUCAACCGUGAUAUAAGCGCAAGCGCCGCGGCACCGUGGGACUGACAGGGAGCCGGCAGAGGUCACGGGAAAAUACAUUCCGCUCUUUCUACUGCCGCGUGCGGCGUCUCUGAGCUCUUGCACAGAAUCAACAUGCGCGGAGAAAAAGCAGACCAAAACUGUGAUGUCGAACAGUGUUGUUGCAAUGUGAUGACAGCACUUAUUGCACGGUGGCCUGAUAAGCAAAUAAGCGACAAAACAAUCCAAGAAAUCAAACAACCGACCAACCAACCAACCAACCAACAGACCCACCAACGAACCAACCAACGAA